AAAAUGGAUAGGCCAGAGGAGAAGGGCAGCUCGCUGCUGAAUGGUACCUCUUGGUUCCAUGUAUGAAACAUCACCAAAGGCGGUGGGGACGUGGUGCUGACCUCGGUAACCUGGGAAAACUGCGGAACCCUGUACUCUAGCGGGUGGCGUGAUUUCCUGUGGAGGUACAGGCUAGCAGUCCUGAUAACACUGGACGUGGAUACAGAAUGGAACAAGUGAAUUACGGGUUAUGGCAGGCACCAGCUGUUGGAAUGGAAGGUGACACGUAAGCAAGGACAGGGGGCUAGAAUGAUUCACAUGGCAAAGGACUGGAGUUAGGGCAUCGGUCUGAACUGAGGUUUCACUUAGUACGGGUAAAUACGAUCACAUACAAAGUGUUUAUAGAUAUGAAUACACGCGGCUUUGUGCAUACAUGUAUUUCCUUGUUCUGUCGGCUGAGAUGCCCCCUGGUAACAAUGGGCACCCAGCGACAGCACGGGGUCUGUGGAGAGAUGGCUGAUAAGAGGGCUGAGGGAGAAGUGUGUGAGAUGAGCGUCCCGUAGACGUGCAGAAAGUGAGAGAGUGCUGUGGACACGCACACACGCACACAGCGCUGAGGCGUGCAGGACCAACACGCAGCCAACGGAAAGGGCUUCCAGAGGCUCUAUACCAGUGUAAAUAAAUUAUGGAGUAACUAAAUAAAUAAACGAGGGAGAAAAGAUACAUCCUCCUGACAGAAACAUUUCAAAUAAUCUGUGUGACACUGGCCCCUCAAGGAGAUGGAACAUAACUCCCAACCCUGAAGACUGGCCUGCACAGAGUGACUUCUUCCCGAAGAACAUGGUAAGAAAAGGGUGGGGAAAGAGUAACUUCCCAGUACAGCGGACAAGCACUACCUCAGCCAGGUGACCCCAGGCAACGUCACCGAGAAGCCAUGAGGACGGCGCGUAGCUUUGAUGCGAUGUGGUCACUGAAAACCAGUCUGAGAAAAUAUCACAGCCGAGAAGGAACGAAGGAGGCACAACGGCUAAAUGUACCAUGACGUCUCACAUAGGGCCCUGAAACAGAACAAAGACAUUGGACUGAAAACUGCUGGUUGUGAGCUCAGAGACUCCAG